UACAGAGGUGGCAAGCGUUGUUCGGAAUUACUGGGCGUAAAGGGCGCGUAGGUGGCCUUUUGAGUCAGACGUGAAAUCCCCCGGCUUAACCUGGGAACUGCGUCUGAUACUGGGAGGCUUGAGUUCGGGAGAGGGUCGCGGAAUUCCCGGUGUAGAGGUGAAAUUCGUAGAUAUCGGGAGGAACACCGGUGGCGAAGGCGGCGACCUGGGUAGAUACUGACGCUGAGGUGCGAAAGCGUGGGGAGCAAACAGG
rnacentral:rRNA from 1 species